rnacentral:rRNA from 1 species
UACGGAGGGUGCGAGCGUUGUCCGGAAUCAUUGGGCGUAAAGGGCGCGUAGGUGGCCCCUCAAGCGUGCGGUGAAAGUCAGGGGCUCAACCCCUGAUCGGCCGUGUCGAACUGGGGAGCUUGAGCACUGUAGAGGCAGGCGGAAUUCCGGGUGUAGCGGUGGAAUGCGUAGAGAUCCGGAAGAACACCGGUGGCGAAGGCGGUCUGCUGGGGUAAUGCUGACACUGAUGCGCGAUAGCGUGGGGAGCAAACAGG